UACGAAGGGGGCUAGCGUUGCUCGGAAUCACUGGGCGUAAAGCGCACGUAGGCGGCUUUUUAAGUCAGGGGUGAAAUCCUGGAGCUCAACUCCAGAACUGCCCUUGAUACUGGCGGUCUCGAGUCCGGGAGAGGUGAGUGGAACUGCGAGUGUAGAGGUGAAAUUCGUAGAUAUUCGCAAGAACACCAGUGGCGAAGGCGGCUCACUGGCCCGGUACUGACGCUGAGGCACGAAGGCCAGGGGAGCAAACAGG
rnacentral:rRNA from 1 species